rnacentral:rRNA from 1 species
GGCCUUCGGGUUGUAAACUUCUUUUAUGAGUGAAGAAUAUGACGGUAACUCAUGAAUAAGCACCGGCUAACUACGUGCCAGCAGCCGCGGUCAUACGUAGGGUGCAAGCAUUAUCCGGAGUGACUGGGCGUAAAGAGUUGCGUAGGCGGUUUAAUAAGUGAAUAGUGAAACCUGGUGGCUCAACCAUACAGACUAUUAUUCAAACUGUUAAACUCGAGAAUGGUAGAGGUAACUGGAAUUUCUAGUGUAGGAGUGAAAUCCGUAGAUAUUAGAAGGAACACCGAUGGCGUAGGCAGGUUACUGGGCCAUUUCUGACGCUAAGGCACGAAAGCGUGGGGAGCGAACCGGAUUAGAUACCCGGGUAGUCCACGCCGUAAACGAUGGAUACUAGCUGUUUGGGGUAUCGACCCCCUGAGUAGCGAAGCUAACGCGUUAAGUAUCCCGCCUGUGGAGUACGAUCGCAAGAUUAAAACAUAAAGGAAUUGACGGGGACCCGCACAAGCGGUGGAUCAUGUUCUUUAAUUCGAUGAUAACCGAUAAACCUUACCAGGUCUUGACAUCCUUGGAAUCUUUCAGAAAUGAGAGAGUGCUUUUUAAGAGCCAAGUGACAGGUGAUGCAUGGCCGUCGUCAGCUCGUGUCGUGAGAUGUUUGGUUAAGUCCAUCAACGAGCGCAACCCUUGUCAGUAGUUGUAUUUUUCUACUGAGACUGCCCCGGCAACGGGGAGGAAGGAGGGGAUGACGUCAGGUCAGUAUUUCCCUUACGUCCUGGGCUAGAAACGUGAUACAAUGGCUAGUACAAUGCGCAGCGAAGCCGCGAGGUGAAGCAAAUCGCAUCAAAGCUAGUCCCAGUUCGGAUUGUAGGCUGAAACUCGCCUGCAUGAAGUCGGAAUCGCUAGUAAUCGCAGAUCAGCAUGCUGCGGUGAAUACGUUCCCGGGUCUUGUACACACCGCCCGUCAAACCAUGAAAGUCACUAACACCCGAAGUCCGAUUCGUCGGCCUAAGGUGGGAGGGAUGAUUGGGGUUAAGUCGUAACAAGGUAUCCGUACCGGAAGGUGCGGAUG